ACAUCAAUGUCAUUUCUGCUACUGAACACAUAAGUUAAUAUUUUCAACUAUAUCCUUCUGAUUUUACCUUCUUCUUUAGUAAGUGAAUUAUAUCUUUGCAAGAAAUUAGCAUAAGUGACAAAGGGAAGGUUUCAUUUCUCACACAUACUUUACCUUCUGUAUGCACUCUUCAGCUUGCUGAGGAGGGUGUCCAAGAUGGCGGCAGCGGGAGGUUUGAGGCUUAAAGCCCACCCCACUUAAAUUGUAUCUAAACAAAUAAAGGCAAGAAGCAUUAUGGCAGUAAGGUUGUGCAGAGGUGGAGAUCUCUCAGGACUAGUGCUGGCAGGGCUCUGCCUCCAUACUGGCCUUCUGAGAAAUGGAGAGGUUGUGCACAUUUGGCACUGAGGCCCAGCCGCAUCCAGCAAGGUUGGACCUGCCUCAGUGAGACUUGUGGUGGGAAGCAGACCUGGUGCUGGCUGCAAUCUGCAAUCAGAGGUCAAUUUUGUUUUCCUGUAUCGGCAGCCAUUUUGGGAGAGAGGAGAAAUGACCAUCUACACAGUCACAGUCCAGAAGGAAUGGGAAAGGACUCCGAAU
rnacentral:lncRNA from 1 species